GUUUCUGAUUUGUCUUGUUAAGUUUGGUUUUGGAAUGCAUCGAGUUAUCUUUUGGUUUUCUGACAAGUAAGUGAUUGGUGGGAGUCUGCAGAAGGUGGGGCAAAGAUAGUUUGAAAAUUUUGAAUGAAUUUGCGGUAAUCUGGAAAAAUCUGGUGUAAAAAAGGGCUUUUGUGUGCAUUGGAUGAGUGUAUACUUUUGAGUUUUUGCUCCUUAUUAAAUGUGUCAAUUGUCUUGGAUUUGUCAAGUCUUCAUAGACAACCCAUAUCACUAUAGCAGCCUUGACAAGAUACCCUUUUGUUGCAAGGAAGUGGAAGCUGCAUUUCAGAUGUGAUGUUUUAAUUACACCAGAUGGUUUAAGAUUGUGGCAUGUCCCUUUAUUGAUUGUUCCACAAUAGUUUCUUGUUCAUCAUGCUCAAACUCUGCUGUUAACUCCCAUUCAGGAUAUGUCGCUUUAUUGAUUGAUACACAAUAGUCUUCUUGUUCAUCAUGCUCAAACUCUGCUGUUAACUCCCAUUCAGGAUAUGUCGCUUUAUUGAUUGAUACACAAUAGUCUUCUUGUUCAUCAUGCUCAAACUCCGCUGUUGUUAACUCCCGUUCCUGGUGGAUGACAAUCGACAUAUCUUCAUUGGCUUAUAAUAACGCAGGCAAAGAACCUCUGGGUCUCUGGCGUGGGAUUUUGAUAAUUUUUGUAUCUAUUUUAGUGAUCUGUCUGCUAGUUUCCUUUACUCCACUUGGUGUUCCCUUUUCAUUUGCUGUUGCAUCGAGGGGACAUUAGUCAGCCUUCCAACUACCAUGUUGUGACAAGUCUACAAGCACUUCUACUUGUUGACUAGCCAUAGAACUGCAAGUGAUGAAACCCUCGACUACAGAGUUUUCCACUUGGGAAAUAUGGUUCUUUAAAUUCUUGUAGUCAGCCUGGCCCAUGGAAGAUGAUAUUUCAUUUUCCAUAGUAGAUCCUUGUGGUGGAAUUGAAAUUUUGCUUGUUGCAAGUAAAACAAGAACUCUGUUUCUGGUAAUUUGUUGUUGCAUAAUCCUAUGAUAAGAAAAGUGCUGAAGGAGCCAUGAACGAUUAGUUUAAAUGUGUCGAACAAUGACUUUUUAUGGCUGCUUCUGUGAGAUAAUCAUGUGUAGAUCUUCAGUUUAGUCACAGUGGAUUACACUAGUACUGCAGAAGUCCAUGCUGCUUGAUUUUCUGGUUGAAGCCUUCAUUUUCUGGUUCAAGUUCCAGACCUGGAGUAGAUUUUCUGUUCAUUGAUAAUACUAGUUUGGAGCUUUUCAUUGUGCAUUAAAGCAAGCAAAGCAUGUGGGGUGAUUGAUUUGAGGUUUGGGUCAUCCUAGAUAACCGGAAACUGCUUUUUUGGAUCUAUCAAGCGUAACACAUUUUGAGCUGAUUCACAUUUUUUGAUGACUGCAUACUCCUGAUCUGGUUUGUGUUUUAUUUCUGUUAAUGGAUGCCAUUUGAAUUUGAUCAAUGGAGGUAAGAUACUCUGGUCUAUCUAAAAUCUUGCCACUCUGGAGGACACGUUGAAGAUUACUGGUGUUUGUGAAAUUCUAAUUUGGAUAGUACAUGUUUUACCUAGCGGGUCUACUUAUAAAUGUUCUUUCUUCUGUUCAUCAAUCAUUUCAAUAAUUUUUGGUACAGGGUUGAUGCUCCACCGGUUCCGAGGAAGCCUUUCACCAAUGGAACCUUCGUUCCCAAGGUAUCUGCACCGGCCCAGCCGCAAACAAAUGCCACGCCAAGACAGAGGCCACAAACUCUUGACUCACUGUUUGCCAACAUGAAGGAACAGAGGUUGAGGGUGUUAUCGCAGCGGCAAAAUGGUGGUGGUGGGGUACAACAACAGCAACAACAACGGCAUGGUGGUCGACAACAAAGACCUCCAUGGGGGAAGAGGCCGUUUUGGUAACUGAAGAAUAUACAGCACACAAUCCUUGUGCAAUGAAUUGAACAUUUGUGUGGGAAAUGUAGAUGAUGCUUGCUUUGCUUGAAAACGGCAACCGAUAGCUGAUAGGGGAUCAAAAUGAAUCUGGUUGUUUCUUGUCAUUUUUUUUUAAUCCAAACCCUUGGCUUGCUAUUUUUAGCUUUUUCUAGCUUCACUAUGAACCCG
rnacentral:misc_RNA from 1 species